GGCUCAGAUUGAACGCUGGCGGCAUGCUUUACACAUGCAAGUCGAACGGUAACAGGUCUUCGGAUGCUGACGAGUGGCGAACGGGUGAGUAAUGCAUCGGAACGUGCCCAGUCGUGGGGGAUAACGCAGCGAAAGCUGUGCUAAUACCGCAUACGAUCUAUGGAUGAAAGCGGGGGACCUUAGGGCCUCGCGCGAUUGGAGCGGCCGAUGUCAGAUUAGCUAGUUGGUGGGGUAAAGGCCUACCAAGGCGACGAUCCUUAGCUGGUCUGAGAGGAUGAUCAGCCACACUGGGACUGAGACACGGCCCAGACUCCUACGGGAGGCAGCAGUGGGGAAUUUUGGACAAUUGGGGGCAACCCUGAUCCAGCAAUGCCGCGUGAGUGAAGAAGGCCUUCGGGUUGUAAACUGCUUUUGUACGGAACGAAAAGGUCUCUAUUAAUACUAGGGGCUCAUGACGGUACCGUAAGAAUAAGCACCGGCUAACUACGUG
rnacentral:rRNA from 1 species